CCUGGGCUCAACCUAGGAAUCGCAUUUGAAACUGACAAGCUAGAGUACUGUAGAGGGGGGUAGAAUUUCAGGUGUAGCGGUGAAAUGCGUAGAGAUCUGAAGGAAUACCGGUGGCGAAGGCGGCCCCCUGGACAGAUACUGACACUCAGAUGCGAAAGCGUGGGGAGCAAACAGGAUUAGAUACCCUGGUAGUCCACGCCGUAAACGAUGUCUACUUG
rnacentral:rRNA from 1 species